rnacentral:tRNA from 1 species
GGCUGGGUAGCUCAGUUGGUACGAGCGGCCGCCUGAAAAGCGGCAGGUCGCCGGUUCGAUCCCGGCCCCAGCCA